AAUUCUCAACCUUUUUCGCUUUUGAAAGAGCGGAUCAGGAUUGGAUUAUGGAAGUUGCUGGCUCUCCCGAAUCAGCUCUUCUUAAAUGUAUUAGCAGUCCUUUGCUGACCGUCAUUGGUAUGAUAAUUAUCUAUAUCAUUGAUAGACAGUUUCCCUCGUGGAAUGGUCUGCUUCUAAUCGUCCUGACAGACAAUUUUUGACAC
rnacentral:misc_RNA from 1 species